GACGCUGGCGGCGUGCUUAACACAUGCAAGUCGAGCGAGAAAGAGGGCUUCGCCCUUGAGUACAGCGGCGAACGGGUGCGUAACACGUGGGUAAUCUGUCCUUGAGGUGGGAAUAACCCAGCGAAAGUUGGGCUAACACCGGAUAAGACCACGGGAGUGGGCUCUCGCGGUCAAAGGACGCUUCCUGAGGGGAGCGUUCCUUCAAGGAGGAGCCCCGCGGCCUAUCAGCUAGUUGGUAGGGUCAUGGCCUACCAAGGCGACGACGGGUAGCUGGUCUGAGAGGAUGGCCAGCCACACGGGGACUGAGACACGGCCCCGACUCCUACGGGAGGCAGCAGUGGGGAAUAUUGGGCAAUGGGCGCAAGCCUGACCCAGCGACGCCGCGUGGGUGAUGAAGGCCUUCGGGUCGUAAAGCCCUGUCGGGAGGAACGAAUGGGCUAAGGGCAAAGAGGUCUUAGCCGUGACGGUACCUCCGAAGGAAGCACCGGCCAACUCCGUGCCAGUAGCCGCGGUAA
rnacentral:rRNA from 1 species